rnacentral:rRNA from 1 species
UACGGGGGGGGCAAGCGUUGUUCGGAAUUACUGGGCGUAAAGGGCUCGUAGGCGGCCAACUAAGUCAGACGUGAAAUCCCUCGGCUUAACCGGGGAACUGCGUCUGAUACUGGAUGGCUAGAGUGUGGGAGAGGGAUGCGGAAUUCCAGGUGUAGCGGUGAAAUGCGUAGAUAUCUGGAGGAACACCGGUGGCGAAGGCGGCAUCCUGGACCACGACUGACGCUGAGGAGCGAAAGCGUGGGGAGCGAACAGG